rnacentral:rRNA from 1 species
GAUGAACGCUAGCUACAGGCUUAACACAUGCAAGUCGAGGGGCAGCAUGAACUUAGCUUGCUAAGUUUGAUGGCGACCGGCGCACGGGUGAGUAACACGUAUCCAACCUUCCGUUUACUCAGGGAUAGCCUUUCGAAAGAAAGAUUAAUACCUGAUAGUAUGGUGAGAUUGCAUGAUAACACCAUUAAAGAUUUAUUGGUAAACGAUGGGGAUGCGUUCCAUUAGGUAGUAGGCGGGGUAACGGCCCACCUAGCCUGCGAUGGAUAGGGGUUCUGAGAGGAAGGUCCCCCACAUUGGAACUGAGACACGGUCCAAACUCCUACGGGAGGCAGCAGUGAGGAAUAUUGGUCAAUGGGCGAGAGCCUGAACCAGCCAAGUAGCGUGAAGGAUGAAGGUCCUACGGAUUGUAAACUUCUUUAUACGGGAAUAAAGUUUCCUACGUGUAGGAUUUUGUAUGUACCGUAUGAAUAAGCAUCGGCUAACUCCGUG